rnacentral:snoRNA from 8 species
UGGGAAACUGAUACAAGGGCAGUGUUAAGCAGUACUCUACCCUUCACAAGUUUUCCCUAUAUCAAACCUGCUCUCUGAUGACCGGUGCGAGUUGAGAGAAAUCGCCACGGACAGAUACGGGGCAGACAUAC